UUUACACGCGUUAGACGAACGGUCUGGAAAGUCCGAUGAUACAGGGUGAUAGUCCCGUAGUUGACGACGUGUGUUCAGUGAAAUCGAGUAGGGCGGGACACGUGAUAUCCUGUCUGAAUAUGGGGGGACCAUCCUCCAAGGCUAAAUACUACUGACUGACCGAUAGUGAACCAGUACCGUGAGGGAAAGGCGAAAAGAACCCCUGUGAGGGGAGUGAAAUAGAACCUGAAACCGUGUACGUACAAGCA
rnacentral:rRNA from 1 species